GACGAACGCUGGCGGCGUGCUUAACACAUGCAAGUCGAACGGUAAGGCCCUUCGGGGUACACGAGUGGCGAACGGGUGAGUGACACGUGGGUGAUCUGCCCUGCACUUCGGGAUAAGCCUGGGAAACUGGGUCUAAUACCGGAUAGGACCACUGCCUACAUGGGUGGUGGUGGAAAGCUUUUGCGGUGUGGGAUGGGCCCGCGGCCUAUCAGCUUGUUAGUGGGGUGAUGGCCUACCAAGGCGACGACGGGUAGCCGGCCUGAGAGGGUGACCGGCCACACUGGGACUGAGAUACGGCCCAGACUCCUACGGGAGGCAGCAGUGGGGAAUAUUGCACAAUGGGCGCAAGCCUGAUGCAGCGACGCCGCGUGAGGGAUGACGGCCUUCGGGUUGUAAACCUCUUUCAGCACCGACGAAGCGCAAGUGACGGUAGGUGCAGAAGAAGGACCGGCCAACUACGUGCCAGCCGCCGCGGUAA
rnacentral:rRNA from 1 species